rnacentral:rRNA from 1 species
GACAGAGGGUGCAAACGUUGUUCGGAAUUACUGGGCGUAAAGCGCGUGUAGGCUGCUUCGCAAGUCGGGUGUGAAAGCCCUGGGCUCAACCUAGGAAGUGCACUCGAAACUGCGGAGCUGGAGUCCUGGAGAGGAAGGCGGAAUUCUCGGUGUAGAGGUGAAAUUCGUAGAUAUCGAGAGGAACACCGGUGGCGAAGGCGGCCUUCUGGACAGUGACUGACGCUGAGACGCGAAAGCGUGGGGAGCAAACAGG